rnacentral:rRNA from 1 species
GUGGGGAAUCUUCCGCAAUGGACGAAAGUCUGACGGAGCAACGCCGCGUGAGUGAUGAAGGUUUUCGGACUGUAAAGCUCUGUUGUUUAGGACGAAAGUGCCUGUUGCGAACAGUUACAGGUAUUGACGGUACUAAACGAGGAAGCCACGGCUAACUACGUGCCAGCAGCCGCGGUAAUACGUAGGUGGCAAGCGUUGUCCGGAAUUAUUUGGCGUAAAGAGCUGGUAGGCGGAGAAUUAAGGAUGUUGGGAAAAUGCGGGGCUGAACCCCGUAUUGCGAUGGAAACGGAAUUUCUUGAGUGCAGGAGAGGAAAGGGGAAUUCCCAGUGUAGCGGUGAAAUGCGUAGAUAUUGGGAGGAACACCAGUGGCGAAGGCGCCUUUCUGGACUGUGUCUGACGCUGAGAUGCGAAAGCCAGGGUAGCGAACGGGAUUAGAUACCCUGGUAGUCC